rnacentral:rRNA from 1 species
GAUGAACGCUGGCGGCGUGCUUAACACAUGCAAGUCGAACGGAAAGGCCCAAGCUUGCUUGGGUACUCGAGUGGCGAACGGGUGAGUAACACGUGGGUGAUCUGCCCUGCACUUCGGGAUAAGCCUGGGAAACUGGGUCUAAUACCGGAUAGGGCCACAUUUUGGAUGGUGUGGUGGAAAGUUUUUCGGUGUGGGAUGAGCUCGCGGCCUAUCAGCUUGUUGGUGGGGUAAUGGCCUACCAAGGCGUCGACGGGUAGCCGGCCUGAGAGGGUGUACGGCCACAUUGGGACUGAGAUACGGCCCAGACUCCUACGGGAGGCAGCAGUGGGGAAUAUUGCACAAUGGGCGCAAGCCUGAUGCAGCGACGCCGCGUGGGGGAUGACGGCCUUCGGGUUGUAAACUCCUUUCGCUAGGGACGAAGCGCAAGUGACGGUACCUGGAGAAGAAGCACCGGCUAACUACGUG